GCUGGCGGCGUGCCUAAUACAUGCAAGUCGAGCGAACGGACGAGAAGCUUGCUUCUCUGAUGUUAGCGGCGGACGGGUGAGUAACACGUGGAUAACCUACCUAUAAGACUGGGAUAACUUCGGGAAACCGGAGCUAAUACCGGAUAAUAUUUUGAACCGCAUGGUUCAAAAGUGAAAGACGGUCUUGCUGUCACUUAUAGAUGGAUCCGCGCUGCAUUAGCUAGUUGGUAAGGUAACGGCUUACCAAGGCAACGAUGCAUAGCCGACCUGAGAGGGUGAUCGGCCACACUGGAACUGAGACACGGUCCAGACUCCUACGGGAGGCAGCAGUAGGGAAUCUUCCGCAAUGGGCGAAAGCCUGACGGAGCAACGCCGCGUGAGUGAUGAAGGUCUUCGGAUCGUAAAACUCUGUUAUUAGGGAAGAACAUAUGUGUAAGUAACUGUGCACAUCUUGACGGUACCUAAUCAGAAAGCCACGGCUAACUACGUGCCAGCAGCCGCGGUAAUACGUAGGUGGCAAGCGUUACCCGGAAUUAUUGGGCGUAAAGCGCGCGUAGGCGGUUUUUUAAGUCUGAUGUGAAAGCCCACGGCUCAACCGUGGAGGGUCAUUGGAAACUGGAAAACUUGAGUGCAGAAGAGGAAAGUGGAAUUCCAUGUGUAGCGGUGAAAUGCGCAGAGAUAUGGAGGAACACCAGUGGCGAAGGCGACUUUCUGGUCUGUAACUGACGCUGAUGUGCGAAAGC
rnacentral:rRNA from 1 species